UAAGUCCAUGUGAAAAGUUAUUUUGCUUUAAUUGGAACAAUACAGAGAAGAUUAGUUUGGCUCCUGUGUGAACAUGAUCUACACAUUGGUGAAGCUUUCCAUUAAAAAAUGUUUUU
rfam:Otolemur garnettii contig010657, whole genome shotgun sequence.